AUCUCCAAACAUAUUUUUAAGUGACUGAUGUUUAUUUUUUCAGUGUGGGGCCCCACACACCUACAUGUUAGCUCAUGCAAACUUAGGUUUGGCAGCCUGGUGAUGUACGAGUGGGAUAAAUAACUCUCAAUGGCAUGCGGUGUCUCAAAAAGGCCUUUUUUUCACUGGCAGGAGACAAUAUUUACUCUGAGGAACAGAGACCACAGAGACACCGGGUGGCAGGUGUUACCUUUUCGCCCACAUCAUCAUCCACAAUCGCAGAGACAUGGUCCAUGAUCAGAGAGACAUUGUUGAGGAUGAGGGAGACAUUGUCCAGAUCAGACACAUUGUCCUUGACUUACAUAGACAUGCACAAAGGUCUGUAGUGACGGAGUUCCCUGAUUUGGCGGCAUCGUCCAUGAUCAGACAUUGACAAUGAUCACAGAGACUCUGUCCAUAAUAUCAGAGAUGGGCCACCAGCUGAAUUAACAGAAACAAAAUAAUCCACCAGGUGAAGGAGGAGGAGAAGUCAACAGCAGCUCAAGACCUGAAGUGGAUGAAAGAAAACAAGUGUUAUGAAGUUGUUAAUUAGAUAAGACUUUCACCAUCUAACAUGAAGUCAUGGGCACAUUUUCUAAAGACUUUACUAAGCACCUUUAUGAACAAUCAACGACUUAUGACGUACGUGUUCAUCUUUGGAAAAUAUGCUCGUAAGAAGUUUCCUUGUGGUCAAAUGUCAUUAUCUUUGCUGUGGUUUAUUAAAUGCUGUGUGGAAUAAAAUCAUUAAGUGUCUUUCUAAACUUUUGAGUUGCAUUUCUCUAUUUUGUAACUGAAAUUAUUCAGAUCAUUUUAUUGCAUUUUAUUUUAAGAAAAAAUGUAAUGAUUCAAGUUUUACACUCAC